UACGUAGGGGGCAAGCGUUUGUCCGGAAUCAUUGGGCGUAAAGAGCGUGUAGGUGGCUCGGUAAGUCCGCUGUGAAAGUCCAGGGCUCAACCCUGGAAAGCCGGUGGAAACUGUCGAGCUCGAGUCCGGAAGAGGCGAGUGGAAUUCCUGGUGUAGCGGUGAAAUGCGCAGAUAUCAGGAGGAACACCAAUGGCGAAGGCAGCUCGCUGGGACGGUACUGACACUGAGACGCGAAAGCGUGGGGAGCAAACAGG
rnacentral:rRNA from 1 species